AUUGAACGCUGGCGGCAGGCCUAACACAUGCAAGUCGAGCGAGCGGCGGACGGGUGAGUAAUGUAUGGGGAUCUGCCUGAUGGAGGGGGAUAACUACUGGAAACGGUAGCUAAUACCGCAUACCAUCAGAUGAACCAAUAUUGGAUUAGCUUGUAGGUAAGGUAACGGCUUACCUAGGCGACGAUCCCUAGCUGGUCUGAGAGGAUGAUCAGCCACACUGGGACUGAGACACGGCCCAGACUCCUACGGGAGGCAGCAGUGGGGAAUAUUCGACAAUGGGCGCAAGCCUGAUGCAGCCAUGCCGCGUGUGUGAAGAAGGCCUUCGGGUUGUAAAGUUCUUUCAGUAGGGAGGCGUUACCGACACAAGAAGCACCGGCUAACUCCGUGCCAGCAGCCGCGGUAAUAC
rnacentral:rRNA from 1 species